AGCGAACGCUGGCGGCAGGCUUAACACAUGCAAGUCGAGCGGGCACUUUCGGGUGUCAGCGGCGGACGGGUGAGUAACGCGUGGGAACGUGCCCUCUGGUUCGGAAUAACUCAGGGAAACUUGAGCUAAUACCGGAUACGCCCUUUUGGGGAAAGGCUUGCUGCCGGAGGAUCGGCCCGCGUCUGAUUAGCUAGUUGGUGAGGUAACGGCUCACCAAGGCGACGAUCAGUAGCUGGUCUGAGAGGAUGAUCAGCCACACUGGGACUGAGACACGGCCCAGACUCCUACGGGAGGCAGCAGUGGGGAAUAUUGGACAAUGGGCGCAAGCCUGAUCCAGCCAUGCCGCGUGAGUGAUCAAGGCCUUAGGGUUGUAAAGCUCUUUUAUCCGGGACGAUAGUGACGGUACCGGAGGAAUAAGCCCCGGCUAACUUCGUG
rnacentral:rRNA from 1 species